GUCUGAUUUUCCACAGAUCCACUUCUUAAUGUCAUUUUAUGUACUUUUCUGACCGGCUUGGAUGUCCACAAGAGAUGCCGCAGAUUUCUGUACAGUAAAGGUCAGGUUGGAUGAGGUCAUGUGUUGAGUGAUUUUCAUAUUUGAUAAGCGAGCUGGAAAAAACAACGUCAUAAAAAAAGGCGGCACUUAUCAGAAAAGGAAAGGCUGCAUGAAGGGAGGGGAAUCCCAACGGCAUCUGUUAAAUAGGCUAGUCUGGUUGAAAGAACAGGACUAUUUUCGAACACCUAAAGCGAGAAUCAACUCAAGCUGUGAAGCUCUUUCUUUCCUUCAGUGAAAAUGGCCCGCCAGGAAAUGUCAGCUUCUAAGGCGACUCCUACUACUCCUACAACAGUCGAUCUCUGUGCGCUCAUGCUGCGACAAACCGGAGAUGAACUCUACUGGAGAUACAAACUGCUGGAACUGCUGAUCAAGCACUAUCAAAGCAUGAAUCAAUGUGGAUGAAAAUUCCUGGCCAAGCGCGGGAUGAAGAAAAUUCAAAAAUGGAAAGCCUUAAAGAAAAAUGGCAAAAAUGAAAACGGAAACAGAGUCGUCUGUGAGUCCUGGAAAAAGUGGCGUUGCUCCCAGCUGGAUGUACAAGGGUUGUGGAAAACACCGAGGGAGUGGCUGCUGUGAUGGAUGGAUUCAAGACAGGACAGGACAAGACAGGAUCUCUGUGGAAACCAAAGGUGAAGAUUUGUUUCUCUGACAAGUCAGAAACCCCGCAAUGGAAAGUCAUCUGGAAAGACUGUUAAAAAAAACAUAUAAAAAUGUUUACAUUUAUUCAUGUUGUAGGUUCUGUGUUUGAAUAUUUAUGUUUUCAUGCCCAAUCAUUUUAUUUUAUCAAAUGGAAAAACAGGUACACUGUUGAAACUAUUUAAAGUGAGCAAUAUAUGGUUUUUAAACAUACCUCUGUGGAUUUUAAAUUAAAAAAUCCAUAACAUUCA